AAUUGUUUAAAGAAUUAGACUGAAAAUUUGGCGGGAUGAGCCAGACCCUUGCAAUAGUGCAACGCAUGGGAGACUCGGGAAAGCCCAGAUAGCAAGCUACCUAGAUGGGCUUUCCCCCUUAAAAAAUUGAGUUAAUAUCGUGUGGGCCGAUGGCCCACAUAUCAGAUAUUAAACUGAUAAGAACAGAUACUACACUUGAUCUUAGCCAAAAGGCCGAGAAAGGUAUGAGUUGCUUAAUCUAGUGGCCUCUUUAUUUAUAAUACUACUUAUUUCUCACAUCUAAAUAUACUAAAUCAGCAGUCACUUUUCCAAUAACUGAUGCAUUUAGUGAUUGACACAUCAGCUUAUUACUAUUUUUUUAUUCUUUCAUUUUCACGCAGGAUUUUUAUGUGUCGUUUUUAGUUAACUUUGUUUCUUUCUCAAACGAUUUUCUCUUUCAUCCCCACGAUCUCCACAUCUCCACUUUCUCUCUUCCAAAAACUCCAUGACUACUGUGUAAAAUCUCAAAGAUGGGUUUCUCAACAUCAUUAAUCGAUUACUCAGAAAUCAGGUACUUUGUUCAUCUCAAUGAACCAAUUUCUUUUUUCUUCCUGACAAAGACGAAACGCACCCUAAGAGCUCUAUCUUGCAUUAGGGAAAUCGUAUUCGUGAAUAAAUCCCCUUUGUUAACCAUCUUCUAUUUCUGUUUGUAAUUUUGUUUUAUAUAUAUAGAAUUCUCCAUAGAUCCGAAAAUCAUAUAUCCUUCUUCUAGAUUUCUAUGGCUUUUUUUUUUUU
rnacentral:sRNA from 1 species